AUUGAACGCUGGCGGCAGGCCUAACACAUGCAAGUCGAGCGGUAGAGAGGUGCUUGCGAUCUCUUGAGAGCGGCGGACGGGUGAGUAAUGCCUAGGAAUCUGCCUAGUGUGGGGGAUAACGUUCGGAAACGGACGCUAAUACCGCAUACGGUCCUACGGGAGAAAGCGGGGGAUCUUCGGACCUCGCGCCAUUAGAUGAGCCUAGGUCGGAUUAGCUAGUUGGUGAGGUAAUGGCUCACCAAGGCGACGAUCCGUAACUGGUCUGAGAGGAUGAUCAGUCACACUGGAACUGAGACACGGUCCAGACUCCUACGGGAGGCAGCAGUGGGGAAUAUUGGACAAUGGGCGAAAGCCUGAUCCAGCCAUGCCGCGUGUGUAGAAGAAGGUNUUCGGAUUGUAAAGCAC
rnacentral:rRNA from 1 species